UUUGACCUGAAAUCAGGUAGG
rnacentral:rRNA from 1 species